CUUCCCACAGCUCCAUAACCUGCCGAAACCGUAACCGCACAACAAAAGCAUAACACUACCCCUCCCCCCCAGUGGAGACUAAACGUCCACCUUCCUUGACUGCCCAUUUUCAUUUUCUGGCAUCUGGAUCCAGGGAACUGUUCAUGGGGAGAAGAUUAAAAACUGUAGAAGAAAACGUGUCAGCGUGGAUAUGAACAAAGGGAAAUAGGCCACAUGGAAGAACUCACAAGUUACAUUACAGCUCGUUCUUAUGAAAAACACCUCUCCUGUUUCUCCAACUGCAGAAGAGAUCGGCAAUAGGGUUUCUUGACUUAAGGAUGGAAACAGAGUCACUCUGGAUAUUUCUAAAGAAAGUUUGGAGGGCAAGACUGGGUGUAGGAAGACUUCCUGAGCCCAAGAGACACUGAGAGCAAACCAAGAAAGAACGGCAGUGGCGUGGCCAGGGUACCAACAUCGGAAA